CCUACGGGUGGCAGCAGUGGGGAAUAUUGCACAAUGGGGGAAACCCUGAUGCAGCGACGCCGCGUGAGUGAAGAAGUAAUUCGUUAUGUAAAGCUCUAUCAGCAGGGAAGAAAAUUACGGUACCUGAGUAAGCAGCCACGGCGAACUACGUGCCAGCAGACGCGGUAAUACGUCGGGGGCAAGCGUUAUCCGGAUUUACUGGGUGGAAAGGGAGCGUAGACGGCAGUGCAAGUAUGGAGUGAAAGGCGGGGGCUCAACCCCCGGACUGCUCUGGAAACUGUACGGCUGGAGUGCAGGAGAGGUAAGUGGAAUGCGUAGUGUAGCGGUGAAAUGCGUAGAUAUUAGGAGGAACACAAGUGGCGAAGGCGGCUUACUGGACUGUAACUGACGUUGAGGCUCGAAAGCGUGGGGAGCAAACAGGAUUAGAUACCCCGGUAGUC
rnacentral:rRNA from 1 species